AAAAGGAAAGAAAGAAAGAAAGAAACCAAAAGAGAAAACAUUGCAUGUUUCUUCAAAACAAAGAUAUUUUCUUUAGAAAAGCUGUAUGAGAAAAGGGAAGGUUUUCUCUGGGCUGAUGUAACGAUUUUCUGAAGAGCGAGAGAGAAGUCAGAAAUUCACUAAAAGAUAUUAAGACUGCAGAAAGAUGUCUUCUCAACAUCAGCAGUGCAAGCAGCCCUGCCAGCCACCACCAGUGUGCACACCAAAAUGCCAUGACCCUUGCCCACCUUGCAAGUGUCCAGACCCUUGCUCACCUAUAAAGUGCCCUGACCCAUGCGUGCCUCAGCAGUGCAAGCAGAAAUGCCCUCCUGGGGCACCUGUUCAACAUUGCUAGCAGAAGUGGCCACCCAAGAGUAUGUAAGAGCUUGAGCUUUUAUCUGCAUCUGGAAAGGAUAAGGACAAUCAGCUCAAC